rnacentral:lncRNA from 10 species
AGCCCAGCGGCGCCUGCCCUGGGCUGGAGCCCUGCUUGCCGGCGCACCGGCUGGGAGCGGCUUCUGGGAGCCGGGCGGCCCCCGCGGUGCAGGCGCGCUGCUAAUGGCCUUGCGAGGCUCACUGGGUCUGAGAGGUCAGAGGCUGCGAGUGUCGCUGCUGAAGGCUGUGGUGGACCCGGCUGGAUUGCGGAUUCUGGGCUAGAUCGCAGAUUUGGGAUCACGGAUUGGGGAUUGGAUCGCGGAUUGGGGGUUGGAUCGGGGAUUUGGAGAUGGAUCGGGGAUUUGGGGCUGGAUUGGGGAUUUGGGGCUGGGUUGGGGGCAGUGAAAAGGUGACAGGGAGUUGCCGCGGCUCAGGAGCCGGUGGUCGGGUGUCUGAGAAGACUACAGGCGCCCGCCACCACGCCCAGCUAAUGUUUGUAUUUUUAGUAGAGACGGGGUUUCACCGUGUUGGCCAGGCUGG